CCCCCCCCCCCCCCCCUUUUUUCUCUCUUUCCCACUUUUCCGCUCUGAAGCCCUUAACUCUCUCGACUCUCUUUCUCAGUUUCUGGUCACUCUCUCCCACGAGCUGAAGCUCUCGUCAGCUCGUCUCAUCUCCGGUCUCUCACCUCUCGUCUCCGGUCUGUCAAGUCUCGUCAGCUCAAGCUCUCCCUGCCCUGCGCUCGCUUCGCGGCGGCUGAAGCAGACGGAACCGGCAUCUGAUGCCUCGGGUGAUGGUGGUGGUCGUCGUCUUAUUUCGGCCGUUAGUUCAGUUGGUCAGCUUCCUUCACCGUCGGUCCCAGUACUAAUAGUUGCUAAUUUGCGGAAAUGACUUCAUAUAGCAAUGUGUCAGUGCUGAAGUUGCUUCAUCCGUAUGAAUCAUCUAUGGAGGUUCUGGUGUAAACCACAAAGAAUUGGCAGCACAGCCUGAUGUUGAUGGAUUUUUGUUUGGUGGUGCUUCUUUGAAGGUGAUUCCCUUCUUUGUAUCUUUUGUAUGAAUUGGAAUUUGUUCGGUAGCGAAACCAUAACAGUGCGAGUCCAUGACAAAACUCGGUAGGAGGAGAAGGUGAAGGUUUAAGAAAAGUAAUGAGGACUUGCUUGCUCUACAUGCAUGCCAAAGUGCGAGUUUCUACAUUUGGCCAUGCAGUUUCUUGAAGCUGUCCACCAGACAAGCUUGAAGCAGCAUAACGGUGACCUUAAGGCUGGUGCAAAAGCAUCCCGUGCUGGAAGGCCAUGGAUUUGUGCAUGUCUCAUUUGUGGUUUCGCAGACCGGAGUGAAG